GUGUCAGCAGCCGCGGUAAUACGUAGGGGGCGAGCGUUGUCCGGAAUUAUUGGGCGUAAAGAGCUCGUAGGCGGCUUAGUAAGUCGGCGGUGAAAUACCGAGGCUCAACCUCGGCACUGCCGUCGAUACUGCUAUGGCUAGAGUUUGGUAGAGGAGAACGGAAUUCCCGGUGUAGCGGUGGAAUGCGCAGAUAUCGGGAGGAACACCCGUAGCGAAGGCGGUUCUCUGGGCCAAUACUGACGCUGAGGAGCGAAAGCGUGGGGAGCAAACAGGAUUAGAAACCCCCGUAGUCC
rnacentral:rRNA from 1 species